GGCCCCUUGGCGGAAUAGGUAGACGCUGCGGACUUAAAAUCCGUUUCGCAUUAGCGAGUCCCGGUUCAAGUCCGGGAGGGGCCACCA
rnacentral:tRNA from 1 species